ACCUUUCUCCCUCUCUCUUCCGCCGUCUAUUCUCCCUCUUUUACGUCUCCGUCUCGUCUUCUUGCUCUUGCAUAUCUUCUCUCCUUUCAUAAACAGUGUCACCCUUUUCCCUCUUUCCGCUUGCCGUUCCCAAUCUGCCAUCUCUUCCCUCACUCUCUUCCUUCUGGUUCCUAUUUCUUGGUUGGGAUGUGGGGGGUUUCGCGAGGCUACAGCCGGCAGACGACGGCAUGAUCGGCUCAAGGUCGGUUGGAAGGACCUUCCGGGUCGGAUCGAGAAUGGCUCCACCCGAGAAGGAUAUCGGAUCCGUUUUUACCUCAUUACAUCAGAUCCUAGCGGGCCCCUCCCUAAACGGGUAAGCGACGCUCCCUCGCUCCAAGUCCUGAUCCUAUCCGUCCGAUGACGCGUCCGCAGUAGAUGUGAGGUCGAGGAGGGUUAGUUACCAGUCACCACUUCAUCCGCCUGUGAUGGGCAUCUCUAUAAAUCGAGGCCCUUCUCGACUCUUCUCGUCGCUUCACGGCUCUCUGGCAAAUUGCAUGUCUUUCCUCGUUCGUUCCGUUUUCCACUACCGUGCAUCCCAGCCGUUUCCCUCUUUCCACACCCGUCGCCAGCGUUGUGGCUGCCGUUUCUCGAUCGGCCCGCCUCCGGCCUCGGGACGCUUGGCGUCGCGGCAUUGUUUACCGACGGGCGGAUUCUCUCUGGCGCCUUAGCCGCAGGCUUUGCGAGUACGUGGGGCGUUAAUUGUCUGCGUUGGUGGCGGUGAGUUGGUGAAUGAUUACAGUGCUUGGAUCGUUCCAUUUGAUGCCUUCUUUUUGCACGGAAAGCUGGACCCUACUCCUCGUCUUCAAAUCUUUGCAUAUUUUGUCUGUUUUAGGAUCUUGGUGAUUGUUUCUUGGUAGUCUUCUUUUUCUUGGCUCAACAUGCGGUGCAGUGGCUUCAUGCUUGUGAAUACGAUAAAUCAUGUGAAUGUUCACGGUAUCUUGACUCUCGAGUAUAGUGGUGGUGGCGUGUAUCUUUCCGUUCUGGUGAAUUUAAAGAUGUUGUUGUUGUUGUUGUGUGUUUUUUCAAUAAGCGCUUUCCUAUCUUUUUUUGUUUUUAUGCUUCUUUGAUUGUCUUUGCCAUGGUUUCUGAUUUGUUUGUUCAUGUUUCUAAAUCCUUCUUGAUGGAAAUCUUUAACUUAUAUGGUAACUGGUUUCUGGUAAUGUUGUUCAAAUGCCACCUGGAGUUCAUGUGUUUGGACGAGGAGACGACCUGAAAUGCCUAAGCCCCACAAUCGCCUUAGCUGUUCAUUCUUCUUAACUCGGACUCGGAAUUAUGCUUAUGCAAAUACAACUAUAACUUUCAACCCUUUGUUUCCCGGGGGAAGAUAUUACCAACCAACAUGACAUAAAGUUGUGUGUACUGCUCCUACAUGCUAAGAUAUCUUAAAUCAUGAAGUCCCUGCAACCAAUAUUAUAGUCCUAAAGGGUCCCAGAUCAAGGUUAGACCAUGAGACGAGCUAGAAGUCAAAAGACAUGUCCGGCGCGAUGAUUCUGUGGUACUUAAUUUUAAAAAGAUAUAGCCUGUGAGUUUUAUUUGCUAAAAUAAAGGAAAAGGAGAAGAGAAGAACGGCGGAGUUUAUUCUGUCUGAUGAUUGGAGUGGUCAUGUUUAUAUAUUAGAAAAUACAAGUUUAUUCAAGUAUAUUGGUUCUGCUGUGAGAUAUAUAUAGUGGACAUUCAAGUGUACUAAUUAAACAACGCAUACUGUCAAGAUUAUGUCAUAUUGUAUCCUCUAUUAAGAACUUGGUUACAUUGA